GCUAAGCUCCCCUUAGCCGUCUCAUGGAGCUGCAGGCCGUCAAAUCAAAGGCACUCCUUCCAUAUAAAGUUUUUUUAUUUGACAAAAAUGAAAACUUGUCAGUUUGCCACUUUCACAAGGUUGGAUUAAUAACAUGUUCAACUACACUCCAACCUCAUGCUGUCAGGUGAGACACAUGAAGCUCAGACUAUUUUAGUAAAUAUCUUCUUGAAGCGGCUGUGAAGUGGAAGAAUACUUUCAGCAGCUACUGGGACCUGAGCCCUAGGACCAUGCCUCAGGAUUACUUGGCCUGACAACUCCUGGCUGUCCCUGUCUCCAGUCCACCUGGUCGUGCUGCUGAUCCAGUUUCUGCUGUUCUGCCUGCGGCAAAAUGGAACCCUGACCUGUUCACCAGUCAUACAUUUACUCCUGAGGUGCUGACCUUUUGCACCAUCUAUAACCACUGUUGUUGUUAUUAGACCCUGCUGGUUAUCUAUGAACGUUUGAACAUCUUGAAGAACGUUCUGGCCUAUUCUUAUCAUCUCCACCCGGCACAGACAGAAGAAGACUGGCCACCCCUCAGAGCCUGGUUCCUUUCUAGGUUUCUUCCUAGGUUCCAGCCUUUCUAGGGAGUUUUUCCUAGCCACUGUGCUUCUAUGUCUGCAUUGCCCAAAACUGAUGUCUCUCAAACACAGUAUUCCGCUGUGGUGCGCAGUAGUUUUCAAACGCUUUCAUCGCCUCUGCCAGUUUCUUGUUUUCCGGAUCGGCAUAUGAAAUCUCUAUCAUGUUGUAGAUCUCCAGCGCGUCCUUGCCAAUGCAGUGUAGCAAAACUGCUAUUUUCCUAUGUUCCGACUUGUAAUUUAGCCCACUGACUAAGUAGUACAGGUUCAGUCUUUGUCCCAUUUCUGCCAAUUUUCUGAACGGUUUCCAUUCAAUAACAACGGUGAUGGUGGUGUAAAUGACUGCACUGCUGCUAAUCCCAAACUCGAUAGCUGUCACGUCCUGACCAGCAGAUGGAGCUAGUGUUUUAGUUUUGGGGUCAGGACGUGGCAUGUUUGUAUUGGUUAAAUGUUGGGUGGAUGAUUGGGACUUCCAAUUGAAGGCAGGUGUGUAUAGUUGCCUUUGAUUGGAAGUCCUAUAUAGGUGUGUGUGUUUUUCUUUGGGGUUGUGGGUGGUUGUUUUUUGCACUGCGUUUCUAGCCUGCAGAACUGUAGCUGUU
rnacentral:lncRNA from 1 species